rnacentral:rRNA from 1 species
AUUGAACGCUGGCGGCAGGCCUAACACAUGCAAGUCGAACGAGUGGCGGACGGGUGAGUAAUGUCUGGGAAACUGCCCGAUGGAGGGGGAAAACUACUGGAAACGGUAGCUAAUAACGCAUACCAUCCGAUUUGCCCAGAUGGGAUUAGCUAGUAGGUGGGGUAACGGCUCACCUAGGCGACGAUCCCUAGCUGGUCGGAGAGGAUGACCAGCCACACUGGAACUGAGACACGCCCCAGACUCCUACGGGGGGAGGCAGUGGGGAAUAGUGCACAAUGGGCGCAAGCCUGAUGCAGCCAUGCCGCGUAUAUGAAGAAGGCCUUGGGGUUGUAAAGUACGUUCAGCGAGGAGGCGUUACUCGCAGAAGAAGCAUCGGCUAACUCCGUGCCAGCAGCCGCGGUAAUUC